GUCGGCGGUGCGAUUUUUGGCUUCUGCACUGAAGACGACGCCUCGCCGGCCCCUUGUCCCCAACUAUCAGGCGGUAUUUGCAUAUCCUGUCCUCCCGCGCCUCCCCUUUCUUACUGGUGCUGGAGAAGGUCGAGCGGUUGAAGGCGGCCAAUAUCCAGGUGGACAGCAUCUCCAAGUCUAUUCAAGAGUUAGAGGCCAACGCCAGGAGCCAACGUGUGGUUUGGAGGUUCAAUGAGAGGAAGAUAGAGCAUGGAUUGAAGCGAGAUGAUCCCGCCCACCGUCGCAGCUACCACCUUGCUUUGGGCAUCAC